rnacentral:lncRNA from 1 species
GGGAUGAACCAGAGUCGUGAGAAGAAAACAGGAAUACAGCAGGAAGACAGUGGGAACAAGAGUGGAUCCAGCCCGCUUGACUGUGAUGACAAGGACUAACAGGACCAGCUGCCCUGUGGCGUUGUGGGACUGAGAACACCAAUAUUGAUGAGGGGCCAGUUUAGUCCCAACCUCCCCUCUAUGUCUGCAGGUCCAGUUCUGACAAAAGGAUACUCACUAUGACUAAUGGAAGCCUCUCUCUGCGUUCCGUCUCUCUGUAUACAACUCCUCCUUUGAGAUAGAUGGA